rnacentral:lncRNA from 1 species
AAAUGGUUAUCAUUAGGCAGGGCAACAUCCAGGUGAAAAGUAAUUUGGUGACUUCUCAGGCAUCUGAAACACACAGAUUGAAAAACACUGCUGGAUUCAGUAGGAACUGGGACAAAGGGUAUCUUCAGAAAGAAUAAUGGAGACCUGUGUUGUUGCUGAAGGAGAUGGAGCUUGGGACUUGGAAGACUGGCAGAGCUGCUUCUCCUUAGGAGUUCUGGCUGCUACUGGAGCAGACCCAGGAAGGCUCUGUCACUAGGA